UAGCAAUACCGAAGAAAGUUUAGUGGCGAACGGGUGCGUAACACGUGGGCAAUCUGCCGAGAAGUGGGGGAUAGCUCGCCGAAAGGCGAAUUAAUACCGCAUGUGGUCAGGGAAGACAUCUUUCCAACACCAAAGCCGGGGCAACCUGGCGCUUCUUGAUGAGCCCGCGGCCUAUCAGCUAGUUGGUGAGGUAACGGCUCACCAAGGCGGUGACGGGUAGCUGGUCUGAGAGGACGACCAGCCACACUGGAACUGAGACACGGUCCAGACACCUACGGGUGGCAGCAGUCGAGAAUUUUUCUCAAUGGGGGAAACCCUGAAGGAGCGACGCCGCGUGGAGGAUGAAGGCUUUCGGGUUGUAAACUCCUGUCAUUUGGGAACAAUGCUAUUCGAUUAACUGUCGAGUAGUUGAUAGUACCAGAAGAGGAAGAGACGGCUAACUCUGUGCCAGCAGCCGCGGUAAUACAGAGGUCUCAAGCGUUGUUCGGAUUCAUUGGGCGUAAAGGGUGCGCAGGUGGCGCCGUAAGUGGGGUGUGAAAUUUCGGAGCUUAACUCCGAAACUGCAUUCCAUACUGCGGUGCUUGAGGACUGGAGAGGAGACUGGAAUUCACGGUGUAGCA
rnacentral:rRNA from 1 species